CGUGGUUUGUAGGUCCCUUCGGGAACGUGGUUGUAGGUACCUUCGGGAACGUGGUUGUAGGUGCCUUCAGGAACGUGGUUGUAGGUGCCUUCAGGAACGUGGUUGUAGGUGCCUUCAGGAACGUGGUUGUAGGUGCCUUCAGGAACGUGGUUGUAGGUGCCUUCAGGAACGUGGUUGUAGGUGCCUUCAGGAACGUGGUUGUAGGUGCCUUCAGGAACGUGGUUGUAGGUGCCUUCAGGAACGUGGUUGUAGGUGCCUUCAGGAACGUGGUUGUAGGUGCCUUCAGGAACGUGGUUGUAGGUGCCUUCAGGAACGUGGUUGUAGGUGCCUUCAGGAACGUGGUUGUAGGUGCCUUCGGGAACGUGGUUGUAGGUCCCUUCGGGAACGUGGUUGUAGGUGCCUUCGGGAAGAGGUGGUUGUAGGUGCCUUCAGGAACGUGGUUGUAGGUGCCUUCGGGAACGUGGUUGUAGGUGCCUUCAGGAACGUGGUUUGUGGGUGCCUUGAGGAACGUGGUUGUAGGUGCCUUCAGGAACGUGGUUGUAGGUCCCUUCGGGAACGUGGUUGUAGGUCCCUUCGGGAACGUGGUUGUAGGUGCCUUCGGGAACGUGGUUGUAGGUGCCUUCGGGAACGUGGUUGUAGGUGCCUUCGGGAACGUGGUUGUAGGUGCCUUCAGGAACGUGGUUGUAGGUGCCUUCAGGAACGUGGUUGUAGGUGCCUUCAGGAACGUGGUUGUAGGUGCCUUCGGGAACGUGGUUGUAGGUGCCUUCGGGAAGAGGUGGU